rnacentral:rRNA from 1 species
UCCAGGGGGGGCAAGCGUUGUUCGGAAUUACUGGGCGUAAAGGGCUCGUAGGCGGCCAACUAAGUCAGACGUGAAAUCCCUCAGCUUAACUGGGGAACUGCGUCUGAUACUGGAUGGCUUGAGUUUGGGAGAGGGAUGCGGAAUUCCAGGUGUAGCGGUGAAAUGCGUAGAUAUCUGGAGGAACACCGGUGGCGAAGGCGGCAUCCUGGACCAACACUGACACUGAGGAGCGAAAGCCAGGGGAGCAAACGGG